UAUAAAGUAAGCUAAAAUAGUAAGCUAGUGGGUUCAUACCCCAAAAAUGAAAUUUUUCCUUUAUUA
rnacentral:tRNA from 1 species